ensembl:lncRNA
ACCACUUACAGGUGCUGCCUGGCACUCUACCAAAAAUGAGGAAAAGCCUGGCUCUGCCCCAUCAGCCCUGCCCGCUCAGCGAUACCAUGGCCCUUGGGAAAUGGCCCUCUGUGUCCCCUCUUCGCAUGCCUCCCGUGCCUGCCACCAUAGAGUAGAACACAGCCCCAGAAUGCUUCCAGAUGCUUCCACAGGCCGUGCCGACCCAGGCCGGUCCACUCCUGGGGUGCCCGUGUCCUGCAGGUGGACGCCCCACACACCCAGCAAUCCAGUUGUCAGCCCGUGUUUUUCAGACUCUAAAGCCAUGGGGCGUCCAGACCCUUCUGUCAUAGAAGCAAUAACUGAAACUGUGCUGCAGAGCCCAGUCUGGCCCUUGCAGACUGGCCUUUCAGAGACGAGCCGUGCAUAGGAGUUGGCCGUGAGGGACUACACUGCCCCAGUAGACCUGGACCUGGCCUCUCCAUCCCUAGAGUCGAGCUCAGCGUCCCAGGCAGCACCCCCCGCUCCACCCCGGGCUCUGGGCAAAAGAAGCACAAGUCUCAGGGGACCCUCCCCACUGUGGGGAUCCCAAGGACGCCCACAGCACCUGCUGCACACCCCGGAGUGUGGACACACACACCACCGGGAGCACACGCCCACUGUGCUGCCUUGACCCCUGCCGACACUGCACACACCAAGCCAUUGCACUCCAGAAUUUCAUGCUGUGAAAUUCCCACCUUGUGGGCCUUUGAGUUUGGAGUCCUGCAGCGUGCAGAAAGGGAUAGGCCUGGCUGCAGAGCAGCCCUGAAAGCCAGGACAGGUCGCGUGGACCCUUUAGAUGGUGUAGCUCGAGCACUUAGUGGGUGCUGUGUGCUUUCAGCCCAGACAUCUCCACUGUCCUCCCACCUGCACUCUCAUAACCUAAAAAGUCAGCGCCACGACCACGUGGCCAUCUCCUAGCGUGACUCCAUCCUGAUUUACGGCAAGCUGAAACCAACUCCUGAGGAAAGUCACAUGAGCGCUCGUGUCCGCCUGUGUCUGGCUGGAGAGGGAAGAGUCCCCCCGUAGGACAAGAGCGGCGUGGGCCGAGGGGUCAGCUUCUCCCACAAGGUGAACUUAGUGAGGAUGCUUCUGUAGGCGGGAGGACACAGCAGUGCUACUCUGCAUCACAGCGCCGCAAUCUCACUGGGUAACUUCUCGUGAUAGAUUUGUAAUCAAUACGGGUCUAUUUUUAUGUCAACUGGACACUGAAGAGCACCUUCCAAUCUUUUUCAAGAUUGUUAAAUUGAGACAAGU